CUUCUACUCCCUCCGUUCAAAAUUACUUGUCUUCGAUUUGUCUAGAUACGGAUGUAUCUAGCACUAAAAUGAGUCUAAAUACAUCCGUAUCUAGACAAAUCUAAGACAAGUAAUUCAGAACGGAGGGAGUAGUUU
rfam:Triticum aestivum genome assembly, contig: Triticum_aestivum_CS42_TGACv1_scaffold_578160_7BL